rnacentral:rRNA from 1 species
CNUGCAGUCGAGGGGCAGCAGGGUAGCAAUAUCGCUGGCGACCGGCGCACGGGUGCGUAACACGUAUAUAAUCUGCCUUUUACAGGGGGAUAGCCUUUCGAAAGAGAGAUUAAUACCCCAUAAUAGUUGACUGGGCAUCCAGUUGAUUUGAAAGUUCCGACGGUAAAAGAUGAGUAUGCGUCUGAUUAGCUAGUAGGUGAGGUAACGGCUCACCUAGGCAACGAUCAGUAGGGGAUCUGAGAGGAUUAACCCCCACACGGAUACUGAGACACGGAUCCGACUCCUACGGGAGGCAGCAGUAAGGAAUAUUGGACAAUGCCCGCAAGGGUGAUCCAGCCAUGCCGCGUGCAGGAAGAAGGCCCUAUGGGUCGUAAACUGCUUUUACACCGGAGAAAACCCCCCUACGUGUAGGGGGCUGAUAGUAUGGUGAGAAUAAGCAUCGGCUAACUUCGUGCCAGCAGCCGCGGUAAGACGAAGGAUGCAAGCGUUAUCCGGAUUCAUUGGGUUUAAAGGGAGCGUAGGUGGACUGAUAAGUCAGUGGUGAAAUCUCUUCGCUUAACGAAGAAAUUGCCAUUGAUACUGUUGGUCUUGAGUACAGUUGCUGUGGGCGGAAUAUGACAUGUAGUGGUGAAAUACAUAGAGAUGUCAUAGAACACCGAUUGCGAAGGCAGCUCACAAAGCUGUAACUGACACUGAGGCUCGAAAGUGCGGGGAUCAAACAGGAUUAGAUACCCUGGUAGUCCGCACCGUAAACGAUGAUUACUCGCUGCUAGAGGGCAACUUUUAGUGGCUUAGCGAAAGCGAUAAGUAAUCCACCUGGGGAGUACGCCGGCAACGGUGAAACUCAAAGGAAUUGACGGGGGCCCGCACAAGCGGAGGAGCAUGUGGUUUAAUUCGAUGAUACGCGA